rnacentral:rRNA from 1 species
GUGCCAGCCGCCGCGGUAAUACCGGCAGCUCAAGUGAUGUCCCAUAUUAUUGGGCCUAAAGCGUCCGUAGCUGGCCGACCAAGACUCCCGGGAAGUCCACCCGCUCAACGGGUGGGCGUCCGGUAGAAACUGGCCGGCUUGGAACCGGAAGGCUCAGAGAGUACGUCCGGGGUAGGAUUGAAAUCCCGUAAUCCCGGACGGACUACCGAUGGCGAAAGCACUCUGAGAAGACGGCUUCGACAGUGAGGGACGAAAGCUCGGGUCUCAAACCGGAUUAGAAACCCUAGUGUCC